AUUUAUUAGAUCGUGCGUUCCUAUAUGGAUAACUGUGGUAAUUCUAGAGCGAAUGCCCCCGUCUGUCCCUAACUUAACGGAGGGGCGCUUUCAUUAGAUCAAAACCAAUCAGACCUAGGUCUAUUUUUGUGAUUAUUCCUGACAACUUUGUGCAGACCACACGGCCUUGCGCCGGCGGCGUAGCACUCUAAUGUCUGCCCUAUCAACUUUCGAUGGUAGGUGGCAUUCCUAGCACGGUUGUAACGGGUAACGGAGAAUCAGGGUUCGAUUCCGGAGAGGGAGCCUGAGAAACGGCUACCAAAUCCAAGGACGGCAGCAGGCCCGCAAAUUACGGACACCCGGCACGGGGAGGUAGUGACGAAAAAUCACAAUGCUGAGAUCCAACUACGGUAACUGCAACAAUUACGCUUUACAUCCUUUAACGUGGAGCUAGUGGAAUUCAAGGCUGGUGCCAGCAGCCGCGGUAAUUCCAGCUCCACGAGCAUGUACGUAAGUUGUUCCAGUUACAAAGCUCGUAGUUGGAUCUCAGACUUGUUGCCGGUGGUCCGCCCGAUACGGGUGUGUACUUUUGGGCCCGGUCUACGUCUCCUUUAAAAGUCUAUAGUGCCCUUAACCGGGUGCUCCGGAAUGCCAGGAAGUUUACACUGAAAAAAUUUCAGUGCUCCGAGGAAGCCGUUUGUCCCUCUAAGAAGCAAAUCGGGUCGCCACAAUGGGAUCGCCCGUCUAUUUAGCAGGCUUUCAGAGUCUCGUUCGUUAUCGGAAUUAACCGACGGGGGCAUUCGUAUUGCGCUGUUAGAGGUGAACGCCUUGGAUCGCCUCAAGAAGAACAUCUGCGAAAGCAUUUGCCAAGGAUGUUUUCAUUAACGGUGCCUGGCCGGGUGAGUUCCCGUGUUGAUCAAAUUAAGCCGCAGGCUCAACCCCUGGUGGUGCCCUCCGUCAAUUCCUUUAAGUUUAGCUUUGCUAACUCGGCAUACUUCCCCCGGCAAUAACAGAUCUGUGAGGCCCGGAGGAAGUAUGGUUGCAAAGCUGAAACUUAAAGCCAGUAACGGCGAGACGCCAGCUUGCAUCGUUUAUGUCCCUCCCUUUGACUCAACGCCCGUCGCAACUACCGAUUGAACGGUUCUGAUCGUCUUCGAACC
rnacentral:rRNA from 1 species